CAGGAGCGCAGUCAUUUGCAAACAUAUUUGCUCACCAACUGCGAAGAUGUUCUUCAAUAUGAGAGAAAAGCGGUUCGAAUAUAGAUACGCCACAGAGGACGAACUAGAAGAAAUGAAGCAGAGAGAUUUUGCUAGAUGGAUGUUUAUUUAUAGGUGAAACAUUUGACGAUUGGAUACGCGAGAUGGUCGUUGGACCAAACUU